GACGAACGCUGGCGGCGUGCUUAACACAUGCAAGUCGAACGAAGUGGCGAACGGGUGAGUAACGCGUAAUCAACCUGCCCUUCAGAGGGGAACAACAGUUGGAAACGACUGCUAAUACCGCAUACUGAAGGGCUGGAUUGCGUCGGAUUAGCUAGUUGGGGGGGUAACGGCCUAACAAGGCGAUGAGCAGUAGACGGUCUGAGAGGAUUGACGGCCAAAUUGGGACUGAGACACGGCCCAGAAGCCUACGGGAGGCAGCAGUGGGGAAUCAUCCGCAAUGGACGAAAGUCUGGCGGAGCAACGCCGGGUGAGUGAUGACGGCCUUCGGGGUGUAAAGCUCUGUUAAGCGGGACGCGGUACCGGAAUAGAAAGCCACGGCUAACUACGUGCCAGCAGCCGCGGUAAUUC
rnacentral:rRNA from 1 species